rnacentral:rRNA from 1 species
UACGGGGGGUGCAAGCGUUGUUCGGAAUCAUUGGGCGUAAAGGGCGUGUAGGCGGCUAGAUAAGUCAGAUGUGAAAUCCCUGGGCUUAACCCAGGAAGUGCAUUUGAUACUGUUUGGCUUGAGUAGGGGAGAGGAAAGUGGAAUUCCUGGUGUAGAGGUGAAAUUCGUAGAUAUCAGGAGGAACACCGGUGGCGAAGGCGACUUUCUGGCCCUAUACUGACGCUGAGACGCGAAAGCGUGGGUAGCAAACAGG